ACACUGCUCCUUGAUUUUCCUUGGGCUGUCGGCCACUCUUGGCAUCAAUGGCCAAGGAAUGCAUGGUCUUGGACAACCAAGAUUGACCCUCAAAUUUCCUUUAAAAGUUGAUUUCUUCUCUGCUUCUUCUUCCUCACUUUAUUUGAACUAAAAUUUGAAAAGCAAAGUGAAAUCCGAGAGUGUUGGUGAGGAAGGAAGUUUAAAAACAGAUUGUGAGUGUGUGCUGGUGCCAAGAAGGAAUUCUGGUGUAUUUGUGGAAGGAAUUUCCUUCUGCUCCGAGCUAGGUAAGCCUUCUUCCCUUCGAGUUAGUUCCUUUUGGCUUCCAGAAUAUUUAUACACCUUUCAUGAAGAUUUUAGAGCCCAAAAUCUGCAGCAACUUCCCUCCUUUAUUGCUGUUCUAUCUGCUGUCACGGGUUGUAGGGGAACACAAGGGAAAAGAGAACAAAGAUAAAAGCCAAAUAGCUUCUGUCACGCGUGCCAAGCAUCAACAUGUCACUUCUGUUGGGCAGACAUGAUUUUGUCGUGCUAAUACGCUCAAUGGGAUGAUUUCUGAGCAAUCGGAAGUGUUGGAAAACAUCUCUGGCAUAAAGCUAUUGAGCAAUUACUGCGUAGGUCAUGUGAGGCGCUCGACUAGGCUUUUCCAGAAUGCCAGCAAUGCAUAAUUUAACAAUUUAAACAAAAUAGUUAAAGGACAAUAAAAUGAAAUAAAUUAAAGUUUUUGAGUUAAUUGAAAAGAAUAAAAAUUAUAAUUAAAGAAAUCAAACACUAAAUAAUAAACUAAAUCGAAUUAAUAAUCUCAGUAAUUAGAUAAUAGCAAUUAUACAUUUUAAAAAAUCACGUAGGAUAAAAUAAAAAUUUAAGAAAAAAAAAUAUUAAAGAGUCUAAAUAUAAAUAUCAUAGUAUCCAAUUAAAUCCGGUUCACUGAUUUUCUUGGAGGGAUAUUGAGUUUAAUAGGGGAGCCACUAGACUUUGGGUGUGAUAUUGGGUCCAGUUGAAGCUAAGUGCAGUAGUUUGAGGACUCUGAACUGAUUGUUAUUCAUAGUCCUUGGGCUUAAGGCCAUGAAUGAUGGUGUCCAGAGAGUACUGAGUGAAUUAUAGGUAUUUAUUUACAUCUUUUUAGUUAUUUAUUGAUUGUACUUCCACUAUUAACUAGUUGGUAACCUAUGCUCUCCUUUGAAGUAGUAUUAGCGGUUGCGUGCAUAGGAUUAUAAAUAAUGAAA